rnacentral:rRNA from 1 species
UUCCGUUGGGGUGACCUGCGGAAGGAUAUUACCGAGUGCGGGUCCUUUGGGCCCAACCUCCCAUCCGUGUCUAUUGUACCCUGUUGCUUCGGCGGGCCCGCCGCUUGUCGGCCGCCGGGGGGGCGCCUCUGCCCCCCGGGCCCGUGCCCGCCGGAGACCCCAACACGAACACUGUCUGAAAGCGUGCAGUCUGAGUUGAUUGAAUGCAAUCAGUUAAAACUUUCAACAAUGGAUCUCUUGGUUCCGGCAUCGAUGAAGAACGCAGCGAAAUGCGAUAACUAAUGUGAAUUGCAGAAUUCAGUGAAUCAUCGAGUCUUUGAACGCACAUUGCGCCCCCUGGUAUUCCGGGGGGCAUGCCUGUCCGAGCGUCAUUGCUGCCCUCAAGCCCGGCUUGUGUGUUGGGUCGCCGUCCCCCUCUCCGGGGGGACGGGCCCGAAAGGCAGCGGCGGCACCGCGUCCGAUCCUCGAGCGUAUGGGGCUUUGUCACAUGCUCUGUAGGAUUGGCCGGCGCCUGCCGACGUUUUCCAACCAUUCUUCCAGGUGACCUCGGAUCAGGUAGG